AUCUGACCUCAAAUCAGGUAG
rnacentral:rRNA from 1 species